rnacentral:rRNA from 1 species
AUGCCCACCAACAACAAACCAGUCCAGCGUCACCUGAGGACGUCACCAGACCGGAGGCUACGGUUCCUCGUGGCUGACGUGUUCAUGAUUACCAUGUGGAUACAAUUACCUGGUGGCCAUGGUUGGGAGCGGCAGGCCGUGAUCGAUAUGGAGGAGAAGCUGCGGUUGUUUGAACCCAACGUCCCUGUUGGCAGUAUGGUGAUUCAGUUCAAGCGUUCAGGGGAGAGGAACAACACGGUCAUGUUGCGGAUACAUGGCCAACGCUGCCUGCUCAUUGUCCUUGACUUGGAGACCAAGGAAAUACGUAGGCAACACCAGAACCCCUCCUUGCUAUUUGAGGUUGACUUGUCUGAGAGAUUACAGGGCAUGAAAAUCUUUUCCUAG